CUUUUUCCAUGCCAAAGAGAAACUGGUGAGAGCUAGCAGAAUUUCCGACAUGCCAGACCUCUAUGGCUAGAUAAAGAUAUUUGCAGACCUGUCUGCAGCAACGUUACAAUUCCGGAAGAAUAUGACACCCAUUACAUCCAUGCUGCAGGAUCAAAACAUCGCCUACAGAUGGGGAUACCCUGCUAAGCUACUGGUCCAUCACAGAGAAGCCAUGCACGCCAUCACAUCCUUG